ensembl:lncRNA
AUGGUAGUAUGCUAUUCUGAAUGCCUCCCAUUCAUUUUUAUACAAGUGGUCCAUCUCCUCCCCCUUUCAAUGUUUCUACCCAGCAGAGCGGAAAUGAGGAGAGGAGCUGGAGGAGACACGGUGAGACCAGAGGAGAGUGCUGCCAUCUCAUGGCCGCAUGCAGUCCUGAUCCUGACUGCUGCUGGGCCCCGGUUCAUGCCUUGUUUGAAUGGCUUCAGACAAUUGGAACGGCCCAUCUUGGAACCGUCUGCUCGCACCUGUAGCCGACAGCCAGCGUGACAGGUCUCUUCAAAGUCUAUGUUUACAGAAUAGCUCCUCGUGACUACAUGAAAGAAUGGAAGAGAUGAAAAUCCGCUUUGAAAGACACAAGCUGGGUAUCUAAGCAGCAGCUUACGACAUUUCAUGGAAAUAAUAUUUUUAUUGAUAAAUGCUCCCGGGGUGAAUACACAGUGCAUGCUGCAGCUCGUCAGCACAAAUAUUUUUUUUUAUUAUUCUGUAUAAUUUCAGUGAAAUCAAACCGAUUUCAACAGGUAUUAAAGCACAGCAUGCAAUAAAAAAGCAUGCCAGAUGCUAACAGCCUAAUUUUGAUUAAUUAAAUACCUCACAUUACUACUUAGUGUACACAGUGCAUACUAGAGGUAGUGCAUAUAAAAUUUGCCGUACAUUAUCCACCUAAUUUUGUUUUGCCCCAAUUGUGUGGGACUUCCGAUCCACUAAACGUACAUAUCUAGAGGAAUAACAAAAAUAACAUUAAAACUAUUUGUGAUAGAAACCAGUGUGUCUAUGAUGACAAUAUAUUAAAAUAAUGUGGAUAUCAAGCAGCAGUGUAGUGAGCUGUAUUGUACAGCCUUGUACAUUCAAAUUACAAAUAUCUGCAUCCGGUCUUAUGUUAAAAAUAAAGUGAGAAGAAUGUUUAUGAUUUCUCAAGAAACUCAAGGGAUUUUUAGACUAGUUCAUUUGACUAGUUCGUUUCGAUGAACCAGUUAAAACCAGGAUUCAUUUAUUAGUCAUCACUCAGAAGUAAAGUAAAGAAAGAAAAGAAACUUUGUAUGGAUAAAUCAUUCACACCACAGUAAGAUCAACAUUAUGCAUUAACAAAAGAGAUAAGAUACAUUUUUAUUUCAUGCUGAUUUAAAAAAAACAAAACAAAAAAAAACUUUUUUGUAUUGAUACAUUCCAUUUUGUUGCUAUCACUUUACUUGAGAUUCUGAUUAAGAUUUAGCCAGAUAGAGAUUUUAAUCUAAUAGUAGCUUUGUAUAUGCAUUGUAGGUAGCGUGCAUGCAGACAAGACUCUUGCUCAACUGCACAACAGUAACUGGAUGAAACCAACAAGCCAUGUAACCGUGCAGCUCUCUGAAGGACUCGCAGUGGUCACAGCAAAAGUGAGUCCAUGGAAAUCAGUUCUGGCAGACUGUCACCGUUGCGAGGUCACAGCCUGUUAAGAGUGUGGGAAGCACAAGCACUAGACUUCAAGAACGAAAACAACUGACAGCUGCAGAGAGUUAAAGCACAGUCAGAAACAAAGACCCUGAGGGGAAAAUAAUGAACAGUUCAUUCAUCCUCAUAUUGUGAUACACAUGAAAGGAUAUUUGUUCUGCGAAAACUUCUUGUUUCGUAUGUUGCUUAUGCUGGAAGACAUCCAUGUUUUUAUUAUGAGUUUUUGGCAUUUGGACCAGAUCUGUUGAUUGUAACAUUCCACUUUUUGGACAAAUAUCCUUCACAGUAAAAGAAUCAUUGUCUCAUCUUCACAAAUAUAAUUACAUUCCAAAAUAUAAUGAAAGGUUCCAAACAGAUGUCUGGCAGGCAUCCAUUAACUCCAAUAAAUAAUAUUUAUCAGUAUCUGUUAAAGGGAGAGUUCACCCAAAAAUGAAAAUUCUGUUAUCAUUUAUUUACCCUCAUGUCAUGAGUUAUUUAAAGCAGAAUAUUCAAGCUGCUUUUUUUUCAUGCAGUGAAAGUGAAUUGUGACCACAGCUAUCAGGCGAGAUUAAUUUUAUCCUGUUUCUCAUACAAAACUAUCAUAUGACUUCCAAAUACUUGUAAUAUAAUGCAUAUAGACCUGUUUUAGGGUGUUUUUAUUGGAGCUUGACAGCCUCCUAGUUUCCACAAUCGAAAAAAAAGUAAUGUAGAAACAGUUUUCACUAAGAAAUUUCUAGAAAAUUUUACAAAUAAUUGAGUAUAAGUACAAAUACUGAAAUAGUAUUUUUUUUUUGUAAAACGUACUCCAAUUACUGCUGUAAAAUACAAGAACAAGCAACUUAUAAGAAAUUGAUAGAACAUUUCACAAAUAAUUACAAAGAAUCGAAAUAGUAAAUUUUUGAAGAAAAUACUAAACUAGUAUAUUUUUUGGUAAACAUACCUAAAUUACUGGCACAAUAUAUAAGAACAAGCAAUUUACAAGAAAUUGAUAGUAAAUUUCACAAAUAAUUACAAAGAAUCAACAAG